rfam:Aedes aegypti strain Liverpool supercont1.101 genomic scaffold, whole genome shotgun sequence.
CAAACUUUGGACAACAUGACAUAAGGGUUGGAAAAGAAUCUAACAAGGAUUCCCUGAGUAGCUGCAAGCGAAAUGGAAAGAGCUCACCACGUACGUGCGAUGUACUGCCUGUAUCUGACCGUUUAUGUGUACUGGAAAGUUCGUUAUCUGUCGUAAUUGAUCGUCAGUUCAAAUGAAACUGGAAUGUGGUUUUUUAUCCCUAGCAGGCCGUGGAGCGGUGCACCAAUGUUAGAAAUGCCUUCCAUGGAGUCAUGUUGCUUAACCCUUUCUUUCCCACAGCUUCGAAUGACAAUUUAACUGUAAAAAUGGCGUUUCUAAAAAAAGUGCUUGAACAAAAGUUUUUGCAAAUAUGCUAAAUUAUUCAAAAUCACAAUAAAAAAAAUUGAUUGUUUUUUCAAUAGUUAGUUGAUUGUUUUUCAAUAGUUUGAUCCUUAGGUCACUUAUUUCGAUGUUUGAUGAAACAAAUAAGCGGAUAAAUUCAUUCCGAUCAUUAUUGACCUAAUCGUAUCAACUCGGUUCAGCUAGCGUUCGUCGAAAAUCGGUGGAUCACCUGUGCUACCAUGGGAAAGAGAGGGUUAAUAGUGCCGCACAAAGUGGGAGGUAUACUUCUUUUAAAGCUAAAUAUCAUUACGAGACUGAUAGCAAACAAGUACUACAAAAGAAAGCUGAAAGCUUUCUAAAAAGAGAGUCAAAACGUACAUGGAAUUGUCUAAAAUUUGAAUCGAAAGCAUCGAACUUCAAGAAAUUUCAAGCUUCUUGAAGCUCUUUGACUAAGUUUCCAACUCAGCCAACUUAAGGAACCGCCAAUUUCAUACCAAUUCAUUAUCAUUCUUCCAAAGCUAUAGUUGCCCCCAGGAAUUCUCAGACAACUCGAGGAAAUCUCCACAACCUUCCUGUAUUCCCAGUUUUUCAUCAAGAAUCAAUAGCUUCCUAACAGAAAGUUCCAAAAUCCAUACUUUAUUCCUGCAG